AGCAGUAGCCGCGGGAAUACGAAGGGUGCAAGCGUUACUCGGAAUUACUGGGCGUAAAGCGUGCGUAGGUGGUGGUUUAAGUCCGUUGUGAAAGCCCUGGGCUCAACCUGGGAAUUGCAGUGGAUACUGGGUCACUAGAGUGUGGUAGAGGAUAGUGGAAUUUCCGGUGUAGCAGUGAAAUGCGUAGAGAUCGGAAGGAACAUCUGUGGCGAAGGCGACUAUCUGGGCCAACACUGACACUGAGGCACGAAAGCGUGGGGAGCAAACAGGAUUAGAUACCCGAGUAGUCCCUGUCUCUUAUAC
rnacentral:rRNA from 1 species